rnacentral:rRNA from 1 species
GACGGGGGAUGCGAGCGUUAUCCGGAAUGAUUGGGCGUAAAGGGUCCGCAGGUGGCCCGGUCAGUCCGCUGUCAAAGCCUGGGGCUCAACCCUGGAGAGGCGCGGAGACCACCGGGCUUGAGUCCGGUAGGGGCAGAGGGAAUUCCCGGUGGAGCGGGUGAAAUGCGUAGAGAUCGGGAAGAACACCAAUGGCGAAAGCACUCUGCUGGGCCGACACUGACACUGAGAGACGAAAGCUAGGGGAGCGAAUGGGAUUAGAACCCGUAC